rnacentral:rRNA from 1 species
UUCCGGUUGAUCCUGCCGGAGGCCAUUGCUAUCGGAGUCCGAUUUAGCCAUGCUAGUCGUGCGAGUUCAGACUCGCGGCACCGAGCUCAGUAACACGUGGCCAAACUACCCUACAGAGACGGAUACCCUCGGGAAACUGAGGUUAUCCCGUCAUACCGAUCUCAGGCUUGAAUCGCAGAGAUCACAAAAUGCCCCGGCGCUGUAGGAUGUGGCUGCGGUUGAUUAGGUAGACGGUGGGGUAACGGCCCACCGUGCCCAUAAUCAGUACAGGUUGUGAGAGCAAGAACCUGGAGACGGAAUCUGAGACAAGAUUCCGGGCCCUACGGGGCGCAGCAGGCGCGAAACCUUUACACUGCACGCACGUGCGAUAAGGGGACUCCGAGUGCGAGGGCAUAUCGUCCUCGCUUUCGUGUACCGUAGGGUGGUACACCAACAAGGGCUGGGCAAGACCGGUGCCAGCCGCCGCGGUAAUACCGGCAGCCCGAGUGAUGGCCGAUCUUAUUGGGCCUAAAGCGUCCGUAGCUGGCUGCGCAAGUCCGUCGGGAAAUCCACUCGCUCAACGAGUGGGCGUCCGACGGAAACUGCACAGCUUGGGACCGGAAGGCUCGAAGGGUACGUUCGGGGUAGGAGUGAAAUCCUAUAAUCCCGCACGGACCACCGAUGGCGAAGGCACUUCGAGAAAACGGAUCCGACAGUGAGGGACGAAAGCCAGGGUCUCCAACCGGAUUAGAUACCCGGGUAGUCCUGGCCGUAAACAAUGUUCGCUAGGUAUGACACAGACUACGUGUCUCUGUUGUGCCGUAGGGAAGCCGAGAAGCGAACCGCCUGGGAAGUACGUCUGCAAGGAUGAAACUUAAAGGAAUUGGCGGGGGAGCACUACAACCGGAGGAGCCUGCGGUUUAAUUGGAUUCAACGCCGGAAA